GCUCUGUUGCCCAGGCUGGAGUGCAGUGGUGGGAUCUUGGCUCACUGCAAGGUUCGCCCACGCCAAUUCUCCUGCCUUAGCCUCCCGAGUAGCUGGGACUACAGGCGCCUGCCAUAACGCCUGGCUAAUUUUUUAGUAUUUUUAGUAGAGACCAGGUUUCACCGUGUUAGCCAGGAUGGUCUCGAUCUCCUGACCUCGUGAUCCACCUGCCUCAGCCUCCCAAAGUGCUGGGAUUACAGACGUGAGCCACUGUGCCCGGCCUGAUCUUCAAGUUUUUAGAUUCGAUUAGUAAUCAAGUCAAUUCAAUUUUUGCCCUUACUUGGCUCAUAUCACAUAUUAUGGACCUCUUAGGAUCACUCUAUGCAAAUUCUGAGGCAAAACCUUGAGUUUCCAUAUUAUGUAAAAUAACAGUAACCUGUUAUGAAACAACAGUAGAGCUGUUCUUAAGGCAUUGACCCUGCCCAAAGCACAACUUAAUUUCCCAAACAGUUAUGAGUUUAGUUUCAAAAUCUCUUCAAAAAUAGGCUUCAUAUGAGUCUUUGAACAGGGCUCAGCACUUUCAGUGAGGUUAAAAGUGGGUGUCCACAAGGAAGGUUUCAAGAGAUAAGAAAGCCCCCCAUUAAUCACCACACAGAGGACUAGCAGAAUCAUAGAGUCCAUGCCCACCCUUUUUCACUUCUAGAAUAUCUCCCACCAUGUGAAAAACCACCUCUCUUCCACAUGCUAUCCUUUUCAAUGAGAACAUGGUAAACAUUUCAUCCUCAGCAGGAUUUGUUCAGGGUUUCACUCUACUUUCCCACUGGGUCUCAGUCUGCCAGCUUUCUGCUUUAGUGUCUUUUUGAACUCCCCCUCUUUAAGGGCACAGAAAUCCUCAUCAGUCAGUUCAUCUACUAAUAUGACCUCUGCAAGCCCCUCACUCUACAAAACACCAUUCCUGACCAUCACAGAAGGGAAGGUCUAACUUAUGUGGUCAAAUAUUAGCUAAAAUGUGUUGUUCAAUAGGUAAGCUGUAAUUUAAUUCUGGAAACCAGACCCCUGUCCUGGCACACUUACACUUUUUCCUUGGUGUGCCAAUCUUUUCCCUUGAUGUGCCUAAUAGGGAGGACUCUGAACACAGGAGGUUUUCAGUUAGUAUUUGUUUGGUGAAUGGAUCAUGUCUCUAUGGUAGGUAGUCUGGCAUGGGUCAGGAGCACAGCCCUGGAGACAAACUUAAUAGUUUGAGUUCUAAUAGCUGGCUGCCUCUCUGGGUCUUUAUAUCCUCAUCUGAAUCCUGAGGAUAAUAAUUACAUCUACACCUCUCUGUCGAAGAAUUGUGAUGAAUGAAAAAGAUGAUGCAUAAAGAAAAAUUAGGAUGCUGGUAGCUAGCUCUCAGUAAUUGUUAGAUCUGAUGACAUUUGCUCCUACUGCUAUCAAGCUGAGUGUGUUUCUAUGUAUAAAAGCUAACAACCAACAAGCUGAGUGUGUUUCUAUGUAUAAAAACUAACAACC
rnacentral:lncRNA from 10 species